AAUUUUGGACAAUGGGGGAAACCCUGAUCCAGCCAUCCCGCGUGUAUGAUUAAGGCCUUCGGGUUGUAAAGUACGUUUGGCAGAGAAGAAAAUGUAUCCCCCAGUACGGGAUACUCCUGACGGUAUCUGCAUAUUAAGCACCGGCCAACUCCGUGCCAGCAGCCGCGGUAAUACGUAGGGUUCAGGCGUUAAUCGGAAUUACUGGGCGUAAAGCGUGUGUAGGCGGUUCGGAAAGAAAAAUGUGAAAUCCCAGGGCUCAACCUUGGAACUGCAUUUUUAACUGCAGAGCUAGAGUAUGUCAGAGGGGGGUAGAAUUCCACGUGUAGCAGUGAAAUGCGUAGGUAUGUGGAGGAAUACCGAUGGCGAAGGCAGCCCCCUGGGAUAAUACUGACGCUCAGACACGAAAGCGUGGGGAGCAAACAGG
rnacentral:rRNA from 1 species